rfam:Canis lupus familiaris chromosome 29, whole genome shotgun sequence.
UAAUAGGUUUUUUUAAAAACCAUCUCAUGAAAAGUCUUCAAAACAA